UAUUAUCAAAUAUUCGACAAAAUUAUAUUCGCAUCUAUUUUUUUUAAGAUAUAAAUUAAAUACGGAUAUAUAUAUCUAUAUUGAAUUUUUAUUACCAUAUUCGCUAAAAACGGAUUCGGAUAUGAUCGGAUAUUUUUUCAGAUUCGAUUAUGAAUUGAAUAUAUAUUUAAAUAAUAAUAUAUAUUAAUAUCCACAUAUACAAAAAAUAUUAUUUUAUUUCUCUAUCUUGUUUUCUAACUAUAUUUCUUCACAUAUAAAAUACAUAAUUUUAAUAUAUAACUCAUUAUAAAAUAAUUAAAAAAAUAAAAAUUCACCUUA
rnacentral:lncRNA from 1 species